UUCAAAAAAUGUUAAUGAAAGUCCCAUACUUCAAUGCAGGAAUUGUCAUUUGAAUGAAAAGCAAAAGGGCUUGUUUGAUGGAGACCCUUAGCAAUCUGUAGCCACCUAUUUUACUCAAAUGGAAGGUUUUGAUGCAGGUACAGAAAUGAUGAAAGCCAAGAUUGAGAUUGAUACUGACAGGUUCCUAGUGAGUAUUUGACAUUGAGGAACAAGUUUUUAGAAACAAAUAGAGAAUAUAGUCUUUGACCGAGAAGUUUCAUGUUUUGUAAUCAAAUGUUGAUGUACAUUGUUUGAAUGUUAGUUCGGUACGAUAUUUUUUGAGUUGAAAUGUUGGUAGUGUGGAUUUAAUACUUUGUAGUUUUUAUACUAUACUGAUGUAUGUUGGCACUUAUCAUUAUGGUUGAUUAUGCUCAACAUAAUCACUUUUAUAUUGUGUAUUAAAA